AUUGAACGCUGGCGGCAUGCUUUACACACGCAAGUCGAACGGUAACAGGGUGCUUGCACCGCUGACGAGUGGCGAACGGGUGAGUAAUGCGUCGGAACGUGCCGAGUAGUGGGGGAUAACGCAGCGAAAGUUGUGCUAAUACCGCAUACGUACUGAGGUAGAAAGUGGGGGACCUUCGGGCCUCACGCUAUUCGAGCGGCCGACGUCUGAUUAGCUAGUAGGUGAGGUAAAGGCUCACCUAGGCGACGAUCAGUAGCGGGUCUGAGAGGAUGUACAGCAAAACUGGGACUGAGACACGGCCGAGACUCCUACGGGAGGCAGCAGUGGGGAAUUUUGGACAAUGGGCGAAAGCCUGAUCCAGCCAUGCCGCGUGUCUGAAGAAGGCCUUCGGGUUGUAAAGGACUUUUGUCAGGGAGGAAAUCCCUAGUGCUAAUAACACUGGGGGAUGACAGUACCUGAAGAAUAAGCACCGGCUAGCUACGUGCCAGCCGCCACGGUAA
rnacentral:rRNA from 1 species